UUCUAGUGAUGUUUCUUCAAUUCUUCAAUUCUAAGGGAGAGAAGAGCUGACAAUAUGACCACGGUAGGCUGAUGGAGCAUUUCCAUCUUAUCAAAUUUAUCUUCAGUUCUCAGAGAGAUUAUCUGAUAAAAUACCCUGAAGGAAUGUCAUUCAAAAGAACAGAAAAGAAAAUGUUGCACAGAAAACAUUCCAGAGUUUUUGCUUAGUUCCAAUGUCAACAUCGGAACAAGAAGAACGGGCAUCCCCUACUUAAAUGAGAAGAGCCAACAUGAAGGGCUUGGAACUCACGACAGGAAAUCAGUUCUAAAGUGUUGAGAUAAACACACCAAUUUUCUUCCUUCCACAUGCUAUUUCCACAUAAACUUUAACUUCGAGUUAGACCUGUUUGACGGGAGAAGAAAAAGGAUGAAAUUACAAACAGUGGUGGCAGAUUAUCAACAUCAGCGGCAAUCCAAAAAACACUUGAGACGCAAAACAUUUUCUUUGGAUAUCUGACAUUUUUUAGUCAUCAUAAUCUUCUGAGUUUGUGCAAGGAAUAAUAAAUUCCCU
rnacentral:lncRNA from 1 species